CUUUCGGCGCCUAGGAUUCGGUGAAAGCUCGAGUGACAGAAUCCUAGAGCUGAAAAGCA
rnacentral:pre_miRNA from 1 species